CAAGUCGAACGCGAAAGGGGCUUCGGCCCUGAGUAGAGUGGCGAACGGGUGAGUAACACGUGGGUGACCUACCUUCGAGUGGGGGAUAACGUCCCGAAAGGGACGCUAAUACCGCAUGACAUCCUGCUUUUGAAAAGGCGGAGAUCAAAGCCGGGGAUCGCAAGACCUGGCGCUUGAAGAGGGGCUCGCGUCCGAUUAGCUAGUUGGUGAGGUAACGGCUCACCAAGGCGACGAUCGGUGGCCGGCCUGAGAGGGCGGACGGCCACACUGGGACUGAGACACGGCCCAGACUCCUACGGGAGGCAGCAGUGGGGAAUUGUUCGCAAUGGGCGCAAGCCUGACGACGCAACGCCGCGUGGAGGAUGAAGGUCUUCGGAUUGUAAACUCCUGUUGCCCGGGACGAAUGGCUCCGACCUAACACGUCGGGGUGUGACGGUACCGGGUGAGGAAGCCCCGGCUAACUCUGUGCCAGCAGCCGCGGUAAUACAGAGGGGGCAAGCGUUGUUCGGAAUUACUGGGCGUAAAGGGCGCGUAGGCGGCCUUCUAAGUCGAACGUGAAAUCCCUGGGCUCAACCCAGGAACUGCGUCCGAUACUGGGAGGCUUGAAUCCGGGAGAGGGAUGUGGAAUUCCGGGUGUAGCGGUGAAAUGCGUAGAUAUCUGGAGGAACACCGGUGGCGAAGGCGGCAUCCUGGACCGGUAUUGACGCUGAUGCGCGAAAGCCAGGGGAGCAAACGGGAUUAGAUACCCCGGUAGUCCUGGCCCUAAACGAUGAAUGCUUGGUGUGGCGGGUAUCGAUCCC
rnacentral:rRNA from 1 species